ensembl:misc_RNA 7SK 7SK RNA
GCAGGUGUCUCCUUCCUCUCUCACCGCUCCAUGCGUGUCCCUCCCAAAGCUGCGUGCUCCGUAGAAGAGGACGACCAUCCCCAAUAGAGGAGGACUGUUCUUUGGUCAAGGUUAUAUGAGUAGCUGCGCUUCCCUGUUAGAACCUCCAAACAAGCUCUCAAGGUCCCUUCUGUUUGAUUUUGCUGAGAGUCUUGAUCAUGAAGGGAUGUUGUAUUUUACCAGAUACUUUUUCU